rnacentral:rRNA from 1 species
AAAUUAUAAUGCAGGGUUAAAUGAUAAUCUAAAGAGGUACAGCCCUUUAGAUACAGGAUACAACCUUAAACGGAGAGUAAGUAUAAAAAACAACCAUAGUUGGCCUAAAAGCAGCCAUCAAUUAAGAAAGCGUUCAAGCUCAACAAUACAUAUAUUGUAAUCCCAACAAUUCAACUAACUCCCGAACUUCAACUGGACCAAUCUAUUUAAAAUAGAAGAAAUACUGUUAACAUGAGUAACAAGAAUUAUUUCUCCCAGCACAAGUUUAUAUCAGAUCGGAUGCCCCACUGAUAGUUAACAAACUAAUAAUAAUAGGCUAAGCAUAAAAUACUUAUUACACAAAUUGUUAACCCAACACAGGUGUGCUAAAAUCAGGGAAAGAUUAAAAGAAGUAAAAGGAACUCGGCAAACAAAAACCCCGCCUGUUUACCAAAAACAUCACCUCUGGCAUUAAUAGUAUCAGAGGCACUGCCUGCCCAGUGACAUAAGUUAAACGGCCGCGGUAUCCUGACCGUGCAAAGGUAGCAUAAUCAUUUGUUCUUUAAUUAAGGACUGGUAUGAAUGGCCACACGAGGGUUUAACUGUCUCUUACUUCCAAUCAGUGAAAUUGACCUUCCCGUGAAGAGGCGGGAAUAAUAAAAUAAGACGAGAAGACCCUAUGGAGCUUUAAUUAACUAACUCAAUAAAACAACAUUACAACCCGACAGGCAACAACACUACUAUAACUGAGCUAGCAAUUUCGGUUGGGGUGACCUCGGAGUACAAAAUAACCUCCGAAAGAUUUUAGUUAAGACCUACAAGUCGAAACCUGUAAAAAUCAUAAUUGAUCCAAUUAACUUUGAUCAACGGAACAAGUUACCCUAGGGAUAACAGCGCAAUCCUAUUUAAGAGUCCAUAUCGACAAUAGGGUUUACGACCUCGAUGUUGGAUCAGGACAUCCCAAUGGUGCAACCGCUAUUAAUGGUUCGUUU